ACUGGAGAUACUGAGGUACACACACACCCACUGGAGAUACUGAGGUACACACACACACACACACACACACACACACACACAGGAGAUACUGAGGUACACACACACACACUCACACACACACACACACUGGAGAUACUGAGGUACACACACACACACACACACACACACACACACUGGAGAUACUGAGGUACACACACACACACACACACACUGGAGAUACUGAGGUACACACACACACACACAGGAGAUACUGAGGUACACACACACACACACACACACACACAGUACACUGGAGAUACUGAGGAUGUGGAACUGCAGUAUUACAGAUGAAGGCUGUGCUGCUCUGGCUUCUGCUCCGAGGUCAAACUCCUCAUCACACCUGAGAGAACUGAAUCUGAACGGUAAUAAUCCAGGAAAAUCAGGAGUGAAGCUCCUCUCUGAUCUACUGAAGGAUCCACACUGUAACCUGGAGACACUACACAUUAACUAUAAUAAACUCACCAGGACGGCGUAUGACAGGAGUCUCACCUCAAACCUCUUCUCCAGGAUAAAGCAGUCUUGGUGAAGAGUUAGAACUGGUCCCACAUUUCCAGCAGUUUGGGAGCUGAAUCAUUGAACUUAAAGGGGCAGAGCAGAAACAAAGUCAAGAACAGGCAGAAGGUCAUACACAGGAGAAAUCAACACACGUAACCAAAUAUCUGCUGUACAAAGUGACGGCACCGAUCUGCCCCGGGGAUGGAGACUGACGAGGCUUAAGUACACGUCCGGAAAUGUACAGCCAACUCAUCCCAAAGCACGAGGCGGGAGCAGGCACGUACAAGAUGUGAUCGUCCAAUGGCAAGCCGGAACAUGAUGCAUUGCAGUGGACUGGGCUUAAAAGAGGAGGAGACAAGACACCCAUCCCUCCCCUGACAUAGACACACGAAUGGAACAUAGUACAAACAGAAAUACAACUGAGGACGUAACAAUGGUCAAGUAUCAAAUAUAAUGUAAACUUGCAUCGAUGAAGUUAAUGUUGUUAGUAAUUGUUCAUAAAUUACCAUGGUAACACAGAGCUCCAAGGUAUAAAAAUAUGGAGUUUGUCAUCAACCAAACAGUAACCAGUUUUAAUACCUAUAAAAGUUUACGUAGUAAAAUUUAGCAAAGCGCUUUACAGUAAAUUCAAAUGUAAAAUUAAACUAAUGAAAUGUUGUGCAGCACAUGCUUAUGUUAAUUUUUGUUACAUUAUAUGAUCAUAUAAAUAAAUAAAUACUCCCAAAGUCA